ACCGCAUCCACCUUUCCCCAAUCUCAUCUGCAUUCCCUCACACAGGCGGGUCUUAUGUUUCAUUGGCUAACAAUGGGUGAAGCGAAGAGCAGUGCUGGCUGGGUCUGCAGCACAGCAGGAGCCAAAGUCUAAAAUCUCCAUCAUCCGGUGAAAAACUGAUGAAUUAACUGCUCCUUCCCAACCCACCUCUCACAAGAGCCACUGUGGGUCAACAGAUUAUCAGUUUUAGGAGCUGAACUGAAUAUGACAAAUCAUGGAUUUGCAGUGUUGUUGUAGCCUUGCUGGUCCUAGGAUAGUCAAGGUCUCUUUUAACCCUGAUGGCUAAGCUCAGAAACACAGAAGGAACUCAGCUUGGAUACACCAAACCAAAUGAUUUUACAAGCCUCUCUCACAAAAGGGUGUCAAGAACUCCUGGACCCAGGCAUCAGCUUUAGGAAGGGAUCUAGGGAUGCUAAAAGGCUCAUCCUCUCUCACCGUAACCAACUGCCCAGAAAGGGGACCAAGUGGAAAAGCAUCUCUUACCAGAACUAGGAAAUGUUUCAUUCCAGCAUCACCAGCCACUUGCCAAUCAUUUCCCCCAGC